rnacentral:lncRNA from 1 species
GGCAUGAUCACAGCUCACUGCAGCCUCAACCUUCUGUGCUAAAGUGAUCCUCCCACCUCAGCCCCCCAGUAGCUGGGACCACAGGCACAUACCACCAUGCCCAGAUAAUUUUUGUAUUUUUUUUAGAGAUGGGAUCGUGCUAUGUUGCCCAGGCUGGUCUAGAACUCCUGGGCUCAAGUGAUCCUCCCGCCUUGGCCUCCAGAAGCGCUGGGAUUACAGGUGAGAGCCACUGUGCCUAGCCAGAAGUCUCAUUUUCUAAUAGGUAGGUAUUACUAAUUUGCAUUUACUGAUUCCUAAUAUAUCUGGCUUAUUGCUAUAUUAUUUUGUACUCUAAAUCUAUCAUUUCUCUUAAGAUUUAUUUUUAUCGUCCUGUCUUUUGUUGGAUUAACUAGGUUUUCAGGGACCAGGUUGGGCUCAAAUGGGCCUUUUUCCCAUUUCACCUUAACCCUCUUCUUCCCUAGAAUGUGAACUUGAUGGCCAGCACUCUGGUAACCACUUUGAAAGCAUGAGGACAUGGGUUAUCUCCCCAACAUGGUGGUGAGGUGGUGCGGGAACAGUAGAUGCUUAGUUCCGUGAUGACAUCAUGGCGCUGUCCACUGAGCCUGGACUGUCCACUCUCAGACUUCUUUUAGGUGAUGUAAACGAAAGCUGAAGUCACCCUGCCUUACUCCUUGGUGGGUAAGCCAUUGGUUUUAUUUUCUGUUUAAAUGUUUCCGUAUUUUGGAGGGGCGCAGUGGCUCACGCCUGCAAUCCCAGCACUUUGGGAGGCCAAAGCAGGUGGAUCACCUGAGGUCAGGAGUUCAAGACCAGGCUGGCCAACAUGGUGAAACCCCGUCUCUACUAAAAAUACAAAAAUUAGCCGGGUGCAGUGGUGGGCACCAGUAAUCCCACUUGGGAGGCUGAGGUGGGAGAAUCGCUUGAACCCGGGAGGUGGAGGUUGCAGUGAGCUGAGAUUGUGCCACUGCAGCCUGGGCAACAAUAGCAAAACUCACCUCAAAAAAACAAACAACAAACAACAAAAAAAACAAGUUUCAGUAUCUUUGUUCAGUUUAACUUCAGCCAUAACAUAUUUUGAGUUCCAUCUGUUUUCACUCAUCUUGAUGCCGUUGGUCAACUGUCUUAAACUGUAGUUCUUUCUAAAGAAUCUCAUUAAAACUCUCACUGAUGAUGGGAGAUCCUCUCAUUCAUGCUUGCAUGCUCCUUCCCUCCAUUCUCCAUCCUUUCUCAGAAGCACACAUUCGACCAACAGUGGAACUUCUGGGUCUUCCAUUUCAGUGAGGUGGCCUGUCAGGGUGG